AAUUAAAAAUUUAUUAUGUUUAUAAUUUUAUAAUUAUUAAUAAAAAUAAUUUUAAUUUAUUUUGUUAGAGUAUUUUAUAAAGAAAAAAUAAAAUUUUAAUUAUAGUUAAAUAGUAUUGUAAAAGAAUAUUGAAAUAUUAUUUAGUUAUUAAAAAGUAAAAUUAAUUUUUUGUACCUUGUGUAUCAGGGUUUAUUAAAUAAAAAUUAUUUAGAUUAAUUUUUUCGAAUUUAAGAGAGAUAAAAAAUUAUUUUUAUUAUUGUAAAAUAAAUAUUUAAAAUAAUUUUUUUGUAAUGAAAUGUUAUUCGUUCUUAAAGAUAUCUAGUUUAUUUAGAAAUGAAUUUAAUUCAGAUAUUUAAAUUUUAAUUAAUUAAUUAAUUAAUUAAUUAAAUUUAAAUUUUAAUAAUUAAAGGGAUAAGCUUUUAAUUAAAUAUUUAUAAAAUAUUAAUAUUAUAUAAAAAAUAUAAGUUUAGAAAUAGCUAUUAUUAUAAUAUAUUAUAAUUAAUUUUUUUAAAAAAUAAUAUUUGAUAUUAUUUUAAGUAUUUAUAAAUAAAUAAUUAUUAAUAAUUAAUAAUUAGAUAUAAUGAUAAAAUUAGUAUAUAUAAAUUUGUUUUAAAUAAAAAAAAUUAAUAAGAUUAUUUAAAGGAAUUCGGCAAAUAUUUUAUCCGCCUGUUUAAUAAAAACAUGUCUUUUUGAUUAUAAUUUAAAGUCUAACCUGCUCAAUGAUUAAUUAAAUAGCCGCAGUAAUUUGACUGUGCAAAGGUAGCAUAAUCAUUAGUUUUUUAAUUAAAAGCUUGAAUGAAUGGUUGAACGAGAUAAAAUCUGUCUUUAUUUAAUUUAUAGAAUUUAAUAUUUAAGUCAAAAAGCUUAAAUGUUUAUAAAAGACGAGAAGACCCUUUAGAGCUUUAUUUAUUAAUUUUAGUUAUAUUAUUUAUAAAUAUUAAAUAUAUUAUAAUUAAUAAAUUAAAUUGGGGCAAUUAAAAGAUUAAAAUAAUUCUUUUUUAUUAUGUAUAUUAAUAUAUAGAAAAUAAAUGAUCCAUAAUUUUGUGAUUAAAAGAUUAAGUUACCUAAGGGAUAACAGCGUAAUUUUUUUGGAGAGUUCAUAUCGAUAAAAAAGUUUGCGACCUCGAUGUUGGAUUAAAGAUUAAUUUAAAUGCAGAAGUUUAAAAUAUUUGGUCUGUUCGACCAUUAAAUCUUUACAUGAUCUGAGUUUAGACCGGCGUAAGCCAGGUCAGUUUCUAUCUUUAUAAAAAUUUAAUAUUUUAGUACGAAAGGACCAAAUAUUUAAUAUAUUAAUAUUUAUAUUUUUGAAUAAAAGUAAU
rnacentral:rRNA from 1 species